rnacentral:rRNA from 1 species
AACGAACGCUGGCGGCAUGCCUAACACAUGCAAGUCGAACGAGACCUUCGGGUCUAGUGGCGCACGGGUGCGUAACGCGUGGGAAUCUGCCCUUGGGUUCGGAAUAACUCGCCGAAAGGCGUGCUAAUACCGGAUGAUGACGUAAGUCCAAAGAUUUAUCGCCCAAGGAUGAGCCCGCGUUGGAUUAGCUAGUUGGUGAGGUAAAGGCUCACCAAGGCGACGAUCCAUAGCUGGUCUGAGAGGAUGAUCAGCCACACUGGGACUGAGACACGGCCCAGACUCCUACGGGAGGCAGCAGUGGGGAAUAUUGGACAAUGGGCGAAAGCCUGAUCCAGCAAUGCCGCGUGAGUGAUGAAGGCCUUAGGGUUGUAAAGCUCUUUUACCCGGGAUGAUAAUGACCGUACCGGGAGAAUAAGCUCCGGCUAACUCCAUG